rnacentral:lncRNA from 1 species
CUGGCUCUGAUCGACUAGAAUUCAAUAAGUUUUAGGAUUUCAGAUGGAUUGAUGGUAAGUUAUCAGUCCAUAUAACAUCUACUUUUCUAUUCUCCUAAACUGUCGACCUAAUCUUCCUGCCAAAGCUUCAUCCCUCAUUUUUAUGUAUGCCUAUGCCGCAGUGAUACAUUGAUCUUAUAGGUUGAUGAAGAUAGAGUCAAUGACAUAAAUUUGGAAUGAGUGUUGGCAGUGCUGUGCUAUUCUGGAGUUUAGAUUGAUUUCAAGGUCCUAUAGAGUGUGGGCCAUUGAUGUUGUUGAACUGAGGAUUGAUUCUAUUUCAAUUGGGUUGUCAACUUUAUUAUUGCUACUGUUUGAUAUGCUUUAAUGCUUGCUUAGAAGUAUGAAUUUCUGAAGUCUAAACUUGUUUAGUUGUAAUUGGCAGUGAUAAUUUGAGGUAAGGCUUUUAUUGUUGGUGUUUUUAACUUUUAGUAAUUCAUCUCAAGUCUAGUUAUAUAACUGCAAACUCUUUACUUUUAUAUGUUAUAUUCUCAGGACUUACGUGAAGCUUGAAGAUUGUUGCUGGAAAAGUAUUUAAGUUAUAGAGGAGGGGUACGGAUAGGCAGCUAUAGCCUCUAACUAUUAGAACAUGAUUGGGGUGAUGUAAACCUAUCAUUCUACAUGUACUCUGUACAGAAUUUAUACUCAAUAUUAUUAAUAUGCAUGUAAUCUUAAUUAAAACCAUAUUUUGUUAGGGAAUGAAUAUUCUACAAUAAAUUCC